rnacentral:rRNA from 1 species
UACAGAGGUCUCAAGCGUUGUUCGGAUUCAUUGGGCGUAAAGGGUGCGUAGGCGGCGCGGUAAGUCGGGUGUGAAAUCUCGGGGCUUAACUCCGAAACUGCAUUCGAUACUGCCGUGCUUGAGGACUGGAGAGGAGACUGGAAUUUACGGUGUAGCGGUGAAAUGCGUAGAGAUGUGGAGGAACACCAGUGGCGAAGGCGGCUUUCUGGUCUGUAACUGACGCUGAGGCGCGAAAGCGUGGGGAGCAAACAGG